AAUGCCGCGUGUGUGAAGAAGGCCUGCGGGUUGUAAAGCACUUUAGUUGGGGAGGAAGGCCUUAAAUCGAAUAGAUUUGAGGAUUGACGUUACCCAAAGAAUAAGCACCGGCUAACUCUGUGCCAGCCACUGCGGUGACUGAGCGGGCUGGCAAGGCGCAUA
rnacentral:rRNA from 1 species